rnacentral:rRNA from 1 species
GACGAACGCUGGCGGCGUGCUUAACACAUGCAAGUCGAACGGAAAGGCCCUGCUUUUGUGGGGUGCUCGAGUGGCGAACGGGUGAGUAACACGUGAGUAACCUGCCCUUGUCUUUCGGGUAACUUCAGGAAACUGGGGCUAAUACCGGAUCGGAUCUCCUGCUCCAUGGUGGGCGUUGGAAAGUUUCGGCGGUUGGGGAUGGACUCGCGGCUUAUCAGCUUGUUGGUGGGGUAGUGGCUUACCAAGGCUUUGACGGGUAGCCGGCAUGGGAGGGUGACCGGCGACAUUGGGACUGAGAUACGGCCCAGACUCCUACGGGAGGCAGCAGUGGGGAAUAUUGCACAAUGGGCGGAAGCCUGAUGCAGCAACGCCGCGUGCGGGAUGACGGCCUUCGGGUUGUAAACCGCUUUCGCCUGUGACGAAGCGUGAGUGACGGUAAUGGGUAAAGAAGCACCGGCUAACUACGUG